UUAAGUCAGUGGUGAAAUCUCCGGGCUCAACCUGGAAACUGCCAUUGAUACUAUUAGUCUUGAAUUUUGUUGAGGUAGGCGGAAUAAGUCAUGUAGCGGUGAAAUGCAUAGAUAUGACUUAGAACACCAAUUGCGAAGGCAGCUUGCUAAACAAAUAUUGACGCUGAGGCACGAAAGCGUGGGGAUCAAACAGGAUUAGAUACCCUGGUAGUCCACGCCCUAAACGAUGAUUACUCGACAUACGCGAUACACAGUGUGUGUCUGAGCGAAAGCAUUAAGUAAUCCACCUGGGAAGUACGACCGCAAGGUUG
rnacentral:rRNA from 1 species